rnacentral:rRNA from 1 species
GACGAACGCUGGCGGCGUGCUUAACACAUGCAAGUCGAGGGCGUGGAGCAAUCCACGACCGGCGAACGGGUGCGUAACACGUGAGCGACCUGCCCACUUGCGGGGGAGUAGCCGGCCCGAACCGGACCGGGUAACGUCCCGCCAUACGCUUUCGGUAGCUUCAUGGCUCUGAAAGGAAAGACCGUAAGGACACAAGUGGAGGGGCGUCGCGGCCUAUCAGCUAGUUGGCGAGGUAACGGCUCACCAAGGCGAUGACGGGUAGCUGGUCUGAGAGGAUGGCCAGCCACAUUGGGACUGAGAAACGGCCCAGACUCCUACGGGAGGGCAGCAGUGGGGAAUCUUGCGCAAUGGUCGAAAGACUGACGCAGCGACGCCGCGUGGAGGA